GAUAAAUCUUCCUCAUAGGCCCUAAACUCCAGGCAUUUGGUUCCUCGGGACAUCAGAUCUGCUGUCAAGGAUUCUAGUCACACUACCCUCUUAGGACAAACUUCUCCAGUCUGAACUUCAGGACCCCAGCCAGAAGCGGACCCAGAAAAGAAAGUAACAAUUUUGGCUAAAACAAAGGCAAGGAAAAUAAAUUCACAGGCAUUCUCAAAAGACACAAAGAUGCACAUAACAGGAAGUUCUUCCAGAUACAUCCACAUAUCUGUAUAAGUCUAUUGGAAGAGGAAUCUCAUUUAUCAUCGCUUGCAUGCUGGUGACUCGGAAGUUGUUAUAGCUAUAGUCA